rnacentral:rRNA from 1 species
CGUAGACUGAUGCGACGCGGCACGGUGCGUAACGCGUAUGUCAACUUGACUCGACAGAAGGGGGAGUAACCCGUCCGAAAGAACGGACUAAUAACCGCGUACGACUAUCCGAGGGCGAUCCUUUGGUAAGGAAAUGAAAUUCGCUGUGAGAUAGGCAUGCGUCCCACUUAGCUCGUUGGUGAGGUAACGGCUCACCAAGGGCAACGAUGGUAGGGAACUGAGAGGUUGAACCCCCACACUGGUACUGAGACACGGACCAGACUCCUACGGGAGGCAGCAGUGAGGAAUAUUGGUCAAUGGGCGAGAGCCUGAACCAGCCAAGUCGCGUGAAGGAUGACUGUCUUAUGGAUUGUAAACUUCUUUUGUAGGGGAAUAAAGACUAGUACGCGUACUGGAGUGAAUGUACCCUACGAAUAAGCAUCGGCUAACUCCGUG